ensembl:antisense Arhgap27os2 Rho GTPase activating protein 27, opposite strand 2
AGAUAGAUGGAAGCCGCAGGAGCUCCAGCUUUAAGGCUGGAUGAAGGGAAACAGAGACGGAGAGUGAGCAAGGCUUCAGCCCCCUAGGAUCUAAAGAAGACAGGGUGCCCCCCCCACCCCCCGCCAGCUUGCAGGGGUGAAGUCAGUGAGUAGGAGCCCAGGAACUGAAAUAUUGGAAGCUAUGCCAAAGAGAAGCAGAUGUCUGACUUUCACAUCCACCAUCUCAUCUGACCCAACCUCCACCCUAAGUUUCUAGGGAAGAAGAGAGUCCACCUCUCCAAACUGUUCCUUACCGAGCAGGUGGCGUUUUAGGAACGUUAUUCGGCGCAUGCAUCCGUUAUUCGGACAUAGGUUAGUUAACAUCCCCGCGGGCUUUGGGGCAGAACUCUGUAGUAAUCAAGCUCAUUUGCAUUUUGCAUGAAAACGUGAAUACUUAAUAAGUGAGGUGGAGGGACAUCCAGUGGCCUCAGUUAAAAAAAAAAAGCAUCUAGACUCUGCUGGACUGUGACCUACCUCCGGCCCCCUCGCUCGCAGCGACCUACCUGCUUUGGGCUCUCUGCCCGCGGAGGGCAGCGCAAGUCCGGAAUGGCCUCGUAGACAUUCUCCGAGUCGCUAGGCGCCAGGGGCCGGGGACAAACCCAGGAGCCCGCCACGCUGGAGGCCUUGAAGUGGCCCGCGCUGCCGAGGAGGCCGGCAGGGGGCGCGGUACCGCCGCGCGCCAAGUCAUCCAGGGACUGCGCCGGUCGCACAGGCGCCGCGGGCCGCACGUAAAGGCAGGCGGGCCCUCCCGGAGCCAGGCUGUUGCGCUGGCCACCGGUGCGCUGUCGUGCAGGGCCACACAGGGAGCUGGCGCGGCCCCGGGGCUCGGCAGAGGACCCAUCGGCGCCCACCGGGGUGCUCACGAAGCGGUAGUCGUAGGCCAGAGGUUCCGGGACUGCGGGGCGCUGCUGCGGUACGGAAGGCUGCGGGGCCGGGGCAGGGUCGCCGAGCGCGGGCAGCUCGCGUACGUACUGCGCGGGGAGGUAGAAGGGGCGACCCCCGGGCUCCCGCCGCACGUGCCACCAGUGCUCGGUGCUGCGGCGCAGCAGUCGGUAACGCUCGUUCGGUUGGAUGGCGAUACGGCGCCCGUCUUUGCCGGUGUACUCGAAGGGGUGUUCCACCAGCACGUACACGUCCCCCUCGACGUCCGCCGCCAUCGCGACCACCGCGCUUUUCUGCAGGCAACAAGAAAAGGAGCCGCCAAGGUCAGGACUGCGCAGCGGGGAAGAGCAUGGAGUCCGGGGCUCAAAGACAAGGGUUCGAGUCCCGCUCCUGCCCACGCCCACUGCAUUCGGGCUUCAGUUUUUCCUUCUCUGAAAUGGGGACGUGGAUAAAAUCAUCUUCAAAGU